ACGGAGGGUGCAAGCGUUAAUCGGAAUUACUGGGCGUAAAGCGCACGCAGGCGGUCUGUCAAGUCGGAUGUGAAAUCCCCGGGCUCAACCUGGGAACUGCAUUCGAAACUGGCAGGCUAGAGUCUUGUAGAGGGGGGUAGAAUUCCAGGUGUAGCGGUGAAAUGCGUAGAGAUGUGGAGGAAUACCGAUGGCGAAGGCAGCCCCCUGGGAUGAUACUGACGCUCAUGCACGAAAGCGUGGGGAGCAAACAGGA
rnacentral:rRNA from 1 species